CUUCAAUUCUGCAUGCUAGCAGUUGCCUCACUUGCCGCGUCGAAGCCCUGGCCCUUGGUCUGUCUACCUCAGUUGGGAGCCAGAGCACUGAGGUCAGGAGAGCAGAGUAAGGAGAUGGGACGGUACCCAAGUCAGGAAUCUUACACCUCCGCGCACCUGGUCUCCAGGCGUGACCUUUUCCUCCUCAUCUUAGCUGACAGGGCCCCUGGGCUACAGGACUUACUGGGAAAGCACGAUUGGGUGGCCGGUCCUCCCUCCCACCUCAGUCAUGUGGAGCAACUUCUCUGUUGUGAUGCAGGCAGGAUUUUCGUUGGUUUAAGGAAAACAACAGUGGCAGGUGGCUGGCACGCGGCUCUCAAUUUUGCAGGGAGUCCGCCUCCGUGUUCCAGGCCAGGGUACCCUUGACUGACGGUCACUGACAGCUGCAGAGGGCCUGCCAUCUCACAGUCUUCAUUUGGGGCUUCUGACUGGCUGGUCCCCACUGAAAACGUGAGGUCAAGGAUGAGGUCACACGGUCCACCUCCUGAGCAGAGAGCCACUUGGAGAAGGAUGAAGAGCAGAUCAGGAGGCGCAAGUAAAGCUGAAUGAUCCAACUGUUGUUGAUCUCGUCAUGGAACAAAGUAUCUUUUGUGUACCAAGCACUGUUCUAGGCACCAGGAAGAGGGCAGUGAACCAGACUGACAUUUGGAACUAAUUGUGAUUCAGAAAUGUGCCCCACCCUUAAGCACCUGAGUGCAUUUUAAAGUCACACACAGGAAGUUGUUACUAUAUGUAAGAAAAGUUACUGAAAUGCUCGUGACUCAGUCUCCUUGUCUGUAAAAUGGGAAUAACAGCUGCGUCUCCUUCAUAGGGUUGGGUUAUAUGUGAGAGUGCAUGUAAAGCCCUCAGAGAUGUGUGUGAUGAAGUAAGGGCUCACCCAGGACGUGUUAGCUGUUCUUAAUAUUUUUAUCACUACCGCUAUUUAUUCUUCUAGCCAGGCUCUUGAACUCUUCUUCAUCCUUGAAGGUCUAGAUUGUGCAUCUCCUCCUUGUGGCUUGCUUCUCCCUUGGGCAUAGCUGGUCCCAGAUUACCUGGCACGUGAUACCUUCCUGGUUCUCACAGGACCAAGGCUCCCUGUAACGAACUUGAAAUCCAAACUGAAUGUACCAGGUGGAAAGUGAGUAUGGGAUGGGCUUCUGUGUCUCAGGGAUGACUAGAAGCUCAUUCAUUCCUCAUAGGUCAAGGGAAGCCCUGUUUUCCCCUAAAGGCCAGUAAAACCUCUAUACUUUAGCCAUGUUUUUGUUGUUGUUGUUAUGUUUUUUUUGUUUACCAGAGAGCCAGAACUUGAAGGAUUAAAACAACAACCAGCACCACUUCUCUUGGCCAACCUCCCUGCCCGAUGAGAAUGGAGUUCCCUGGCAGUUCACACUGUUGUGGGAAAUAGGGAGCAGAGCCAGGUGGGCCUCGACUGCGGCUGGGUUCUAGUCAGCGUAGCCCGGUGCCUGACACUGGGAACUGGGCUUCCCUGCACGUGCUCACCAUCCGUAGUCGUUGGCUCAUCCGGGCCUCUGUCUCCAUGGAGACUCAGAGAGAGGUGUAAUGACUUGUUUAAUACCGUAUGGUGCAUAGAUGGUGAACGUGGGACUCACUACAAGUCCUCUCUCGUUUCAAGCCCAGGCUUCUUUCCACUGUACAAUUUUGCCCUCCCAAUGUCCAGGUUCCUCUCCUUAGGAGGCAUCAAUCCAAGGUUGCAAAUAAUAGUAGUUGUUAUGUGGUUGAUACUGUACUGGGUGCUCUAUGUGCGUUAGUUCAUUUAACUUCCGUAAUGAUCUCAUGAGAUAGGUACUAUCCUUUUGCCCAUUUUACAGACAGGAAAACUGAGGCUCCUAAUAUCACAGAAUUAAUAAAACGAGAAACUGAGAUUUAAACCCAAGUUGUCUGUCCUCAGACCCUUCAACUAUAUUUUUAGUGCUACUUCUUCCUACUUAUUGGAGGCAGGUGUUACAUGAAAGUUUUUUCAAAAUUCACCCACAUAGAGGCCUGGAAAUGAAAAGGAAGAAGACAUGCCAUCAAUGUGCUGAAAGAAUGCCUUAGCUCUACAUUUUGGAAUCACUUGUCGUUUUUGGUGACAGCAUUCACAUAGCAUUAACAAUGGGCCAGGCCACUGCUACCUGCUUUACAAAUGUUAACUCAUCAGAUAUUCAUAGCAGCCUUGUGAGGCGGUUAGGGGCCAUUAUUCUUCUUCCCAUUUUACCAGUGGGAAAACUGAGGCACUCACCAACACCACAGAGCUAAUGAAAUACAGAGCCAAGAUUCAACCCAGGCAGUCCUGCGUCUGCCCCCAUGCCUUUGAUCUCUAGACCGCCUGGUACCUACACACAGUCUGUCAUAGGGUAUGUCAGUGAAGGACCGGUGGUAACUGACUUUAAUUCCAAGUUCUUAAUUCCAAAUAAUUAAAGACCAAAGUGCCUGCUAUUGGCCACAGUAGCAACUGAAAGGUAGUAACUGAUUCUAAUUUAGACUUUAAGGGACGUACUGGGGAAAUUGAUCUGUUCACCCAAAUCAGAAACGUGUUUUGAGGACUAAC